GACGAACGCUGGCGGCGUGCUUAACACAUGCAAGUCGAACGGUGAACCGGGCUUCGGCCCGGGGAUCAGUGGCGAACGGGUGCGUAACACGUGGGCAACCUGCCCCAGACACUGGGAUAACCCCGGGAAACCGGGGCUAAUACCGGAUACUCCGACCGGACCGCAUGAUCCGGCCGGGAAAGCUCCGACGGUCUGGGAUGGGCCCGCGGCCCAUCAGCUCGUUGGUGGGGUCACGGCCUACCAAGGCGACGACGGGUAGCUGGCCUGAGAGGGAGACCCGCCACACUGGAACUGGGCUGCGGUCGAGAGUACGACGGGAGGCAGCAGGGGGGAAUAGUGCACAAUGGGGGGAAGCCUGAUGCGGCGCCGCCGCGUGGGGGACGACGGCCCUCGGGUUGUAAACCACUUUCGGCAGGGAAGAAGCGCAGGUGACGGUACCUGCAGAAGAAGUCCCGGCUAACUACGUGCCAGCAGCCGCCGUAACAC
rnacentral:rRNA from 1 species